AUGGAUUGGAUUGCUUAUGGCGAGCACGGGUGGUGGUUCACCGGGGUAUAUGGCCCUCAGGAGGAGGAAAGCAAGGUUGAAUUCAUUCAGGAGCUACGAGAUGUCAGAGAGUUGCAUGCUGGCCCCUGGAUGGUGGCCGGGGAUUUCAAUGUCAUCAAAGAUCCAACAGAGAAGAGCAACAACAGGAUUAACCGCCGCAGGAUGGGAAGAUUCCGACGAUGUAUUAAUGACCUUGAGCUCAUCGACCUCUAUCUCAACGGCAGGAGGUACACAUGGUCCAAUGAGCAGAAUGCGCCAAUGUUGGAGAAGCUGGACAGGGUGCUCGUCUCGAUGGACUUGGAGCAGGCACACCCAUCGUCACUCCUCUCGGUCCUCAGCACUAGCGUCUCCAGCCAUUGUCAUCUACACCUAGUUCUUGAUCCGGACUUGCAAAGAGGGAGGCGUUUUCAUUUUGAAGCCUCCUGGACUAAAGUAGAUGGUUUCCAGGAGGUGGUUCGGCAGGCAUGGAUGGCUCCACAAGUGAUGCAAAAUCCAUUCAAGAGGCUUGCAGCCAAGCUUAAGGCCACGGCUAAGGCGUUGUCGAGCUGGAGCGAUCGCUAUAUUGGUAGCAUAAAACAGUAG
rnacentral:rRNA from 1 species